GACGGGGCCCGCACAAGCGGUGGAGCAUGUGGUUUAAUUCGACGCAACGCGAAGAACCUUACCAGGGCUUGACAUCCCCUGACCGCGUAUGAAAGUACGUUUUCACCUCGGGUGACAGGGAGACAGGUGGUGCAUGGUUGUCGUCAGCUCGUGUCGUGAGAUGUUGGGUUAAGUCCCGCAACGAGCGCAACCCCUACGUUUAGUUGCUAACGCGUGAAGGCGAGCACUCUAGACGAACUGCCGUUGACAAAACGGAGGAAGGUGGGAUGACGUCAAAUCAUCAUGCCCCUUAUGUUCUGGGCUACACACGUGCUACAAUGGCCGGUACAGACGGACGCAAAGCCGCGAGGUGGAGCAAAUCCUAAAAAGCCGGUCUCAGUUCGGAUUGCAGGCUGCAAUUCGCCUGCAUGAAGUCGGAAUCGCUAGUAAUCGCAGGUCAGCAUACUGCGGUGGAAUACGUUCCCGGGCCUU
rnacentral:rRNA from 1 species